rnacentral:rRNA from 1 species
UGGGGAAUUUUCCGCAAUGGGCGAAAGCCUGACGGAGCAACGCCGCGUGCGGGAUGACGGCCUGUGGGUUGUAAACCGCUUUUAACAGGGAAGAAGCUCUGACGGUACCUGUUGAAUCAGCAUCGGCUAACUCCGUGCCAGCAGCCGCGGUAAUACGGAGGAUGCAAGCGUUAUCCGGAAUAAUUGGGCGUAAAGCGUUCGUAGGUGGUUUUGUAAGUCUGCUGUUAAAGCGUGUAGCUCAACUACAUAUAGGCAGUGGAAACUACAAAACUUGAGUGCGUUCGGGGCAGAGGGAAUUCCUAGUGUAGCGGUGAAAUGCGUAGAGAUUAGGAAGAACACCGGUGGCGAAAGCGCUCUGCUAGGCCGCAACUGACACUGAGGGACGAAAGCUAGGGGAGCGAAUGGGAUUAGAUACCCCUGUAGUCC